rnacentral:rRNA from 1 species
UACGGAGGAGGCUAGCGUUGUUCGGAAUUACUGGGCGUAAAGCGGGUGUAGGCGGAUUGCUAAGUCGGGGGUGAAAGCCCGGGGCUCAACCCUGGAAUUGCCUUCGAUACUGGCAGUCUCGAGUGCAGGAGAGGUAAGGGGAAGUCCGAGUGUAGAGGUGAAAUUCGUAGAUAUUCGGAGGAACACCAGAGGCGAAGGCGGCUCACUGGACCGGUACUGACGCUGAGACCCGAAAGCGUGGGGAGCAAACAGG